GGUGCCGCCUGUCAACAAAACCCAACCAGUAGCCGGAGGACACUGGAACCGAGAUGGAAACCAAGGCACAGAACUACUGUGACUUUCCCAGAACCUCAGACCUAGACUGGUUUGCACCUUGAACUUGAUUCCAGGAUAUGGAUUCAUGAAAUGUUAGUCAUCAUAUUUCAUACUGAGAAAGGUCCUGGAAGGAUCAUCCAGACCAACGAUUUUUAUUUCUCUGAGCAUAAAACUGAGACCUGUUUUAUGAUUUAUCUAAUAUCACAAACAGUUGGUGACAGAAGUAGGAAAUACAGCUGAGGCCAAAACUCAUUCUGAACAGCAAAUGAAAACAGAUACUUUUGGCCGGGCAUGGUGGCUCAUGCGUGUAAUCUCAGCACUUUGGGAGGCUGAGGCAGGCAGAUUACCUGAGAUUGAGAGUUUGAGACCAGCCUGACCAACAUGGAGAAACCCCGUCUCUGCUAAAAAUACAAAAAAAUUAGCCGGGCAUGGUGGUGCAUGCCUAUAAUCCCAGCUACUCAGGAGGCUGAGGCAGGAGAAUCGCUUGAACCCAGGAGGCAGAGGUUGCGGUGAGCCGAGAUCGUGCCAUUGCACUCCAGCCUGGGUAACAAGAGCGAAACUCCGUCUCAAAAAAAUAAAAAAAAAAGAAAGAAAGAAAACAGAUACUUUCAUCGAAUCCAUUAUGUGCCAGGCACUAUUCUAAGAGCUUCACAACAAGCCUAUGAAAUAGGUGCUACCACUCUUUACAGAUGAAGAACGGAUGCAAGUUCACACAAGCAGUGCAUUUCAGAGUUGAAAUCAGAAACUAUAUAGUUUAGAUCCAGAGACUUGCUGCACUUAAGGAACACACUGAACAAGGGAAGUUCUAGAAUUGGGCAGACCUGGACUUCUGUCCUUGGGCAUAUCACUUAAGUUCUCUGAAUCUUCUCUUACUCAUCUGUUAAAUGGCCAUAUUUCACAUGAGUGUAAAAUGGAGUAAAUUAGGUAAGUCCUAUAAAGCCCUGAGCAAAAAUUCUCAAUCAAUAUUAGUGUUGAAUUAAGUUUCACUUAAAGCUGCCUCCUUGCAUAUUUUAAGUUCACCCUGACAGUUUUUCUGUACAUAGUAAACUAUAACCUAACUGGAUGUGUAAACAGACUGUAACCUACUCCUGUGCCACUCACAGUUUUGGCCAAUCAAAGGUGGCCAACCAUUCAAACCAUGUUAAAAUAAGGCAAAUGCUGGGCUGUAACCAACACUUCCAUUUCUGUACCUCACUUCUGUUUUUUAUAGGUCAUUUUCCUUUUUCUGUCCAUAAAUCUUCUACCAGGCAGCUGCACCGGAGUCUCUCUGAGGCCACUCUGGCUCGGAAGUCUGCCUGAUUGGUGAAUAAUUCUUUGCUCAAUUAAACUCUACUAAAUUUAAUUUGUCUAAGGUUUUUCUUUUAACAUUAGCUACUGAUGUCACUAUUAAUAUUAGCUAGUGAUGACAACAGUUCUCCGGAAUCCACCCUAGUCCUGUGGUCAUUUUUAGAUUUCUGGUUCUCUGACCACUACAUUGCUAAUCCUCCUUCUAGUAAAUUUUCAUCUACCUUGAACUUCCUUACACACUAUUCCCCCUAAACGUUGUUCCAGUUGAGUGCCCAGCCAGAAAGAUUAAAGCUCUCCCUGCUGAAAUCUCCUUUCCCUCCAGCAGGAAACCAGUGUAGUUAUGUUGUUUGUACUUGCCAGGAUACACUUCCAUUUCAUAUUUGCAAGUACACAUAAAGGUAUCCUUCAUCAGCAGCACAGUGCUUCCUUUCCUCUGAAUCUGCCAUCAGCUCAGGCAGAUUUCUAAGCAGCAAAUCAGCCUUUGCCAGAACACUGCAGGACACCAGUGCAGCGCCCAGCCUGCGACCAUGAGCUCGCCUGCACCCAGGUGAUUAAAAAGCUUUAUUGCUCACACAAAGCCUGUUUGGUGGUCUCUUCACAUGGACGCGAGUGACAUUUGGUGCCGUGACUCGGAUCGGGGAACCUCCCUUGGGAGAUCAAUCCCCUGUCCUCCUGCUCUUUGUUCCAAGAGAAAGAUCCACCUACGACCUCUGCUCCUCAGACCAACCAGCCCAAGGAACAUCUCACCAAUUUUAAAUCGGGCUCUAGGGGAUGGUAGAGUCACAGGAUGGAAGAACUCUGUGUCCUUGAAUCAUUGCAUGGAAGAGAACUGGAAGUUGCCCAGGAACACCAGCCUUGGACAGUU
rnacentral:lncRNA from 1 species